GUCAUGAGGGUGGAGGCCCACGAAUGGGCUUAGGCUCUUUAUAAGAUUCCUCCAGAGAGUUUCUUCCUCCAUCGACAAUGUGAAGAUAUAAUGAAGACUGUGAAACAGGAAGCCAGCCCUCACCUGACAGCAAGCCUGCCAUGCCUUGAUCUCACGGUUCCCAGCCUUUCAAAAUGAGGUGAGGUGCUCAUGCAGCAAACAGACAAGGAGUUCAUGUCGUUAGUCUUACUCAUGCUGAGUGCCCUGGGUACCGGGAAGACCACAAGUGGAGCAUCGUUUACCCGGGUUAACAGAAAACAGCAAGGAUAACACAGUGUCACGUCUGCCAACACUGUCCAUCUUGAAGUCUCUCUUUGGGUACCAGACACUUUUGUAUAUAACUUAAAGAAGCAAGGUUAAACUGACCUAGGGAGUGGAGAACAAGAGGGCACAUCUAUACAGUCCCCAGAAGUCACCCUCUGAGAUUAAGGAACAGCGUGA
rnacentral:lncRNA from 1 species